rnacentral:lncRNA from 1 species
AGUCAAUUACUAAUUCUAGUAGUAUUUUGCUAUUUAUUUUUAUUAAAAAAUAUGAGUUAAUUUUGAUUUUAACUUGUCUUAUCUUAAAUAGAAGAACCCAUUUUCAACUCAUUUUUUAUGAGGUUUAGGUUUAGCUCCUAAAAUGUGAGCCCAAAAAUAAUUGAGCUCAAUCUUCCCAACCUUAGAACCUUACGUAUUAAAAAAAACCUAGGAAGAGAGGACAACAAUGGAGGUUAGCCAUUCCACACCCUCUCCAUCUCUUCAGCCGCAACCUGCACAAAAAUAGAGACAAAAGAGACGGCAAAGAGAGAGCAAAGGCAAAAAAGAACCGCCGCUCAUCUCCUUCUUCCUCAAGAAUCCAAAACCAAUAAAAAAAACCCCAAUCCCUCCAACCUUUUAAUCUCCUAAUACACAAAAAGCUCACCGGAGAAUCACCCCACUUCCACCGCUAG